rnacentral:rRNA from 1 species
GCGUAUGGGGGAUGUCUUGGCAUCAGAUGGCGAUGAAGGGCGUGGAAGACUGCGAUAAUCUUGGGGAAGUUGUCAAACGAGCGUUGAUCCCGAGGUUCCCGAAUUAUCAUAUACUGAAUACAUAGGUAUAUGAGGCACACGCGGUGAACUGAAACAUCUCAGUAACCGCAGGAAAGGAAAGCAACAGCGACUUCGUUAGUAGCGGCGAGCGAAAGCGAAUCUAGCCUAAACCGUCUUGCUUCGGCAAGGCGGGGUCGUGGGGCUUGUCAUUGUGGAGUUACAAAACUGUUUGCUAGAAGAAUUCGUUGGAAAGCGAAACCAUAGAGGGUGACAGUCCCGUAUUUGAAAGUAAACAGACUUCCGACAGGUACCCGAGUAGGUCCGGCCACGUGGAAUCCGGACUGAAUCUGGGAGGUCCAUCUCCUAAGGCUAAGUAUUCUCUGAUGACCGAUAGUGAAAAGUAGGGUGACCGAAAGAUGAAAAGAACCCCUGUUAGGGGAGGGAAAGAACCUGAAACCAUACGCUUACAAGCUGUCGGAGCACUAUUAUCUUCGGAUAAGUGUGACGGCGUGCCUUUUGCAUAAUGAUCCGGCGAGUUACCGUCAAUGGCUCGAUUAAGGCCUUCCGGGCCGUAGUCUCAGCGAAAGCAAGUCUGAAUAGGGCGUUUUGUCAGUGGCGGUAGACGCGAAACCAGGUGAACUACCCAUGAGCAGGUUGAAGCGCGGGUAAGACUGCGUGGAGGACCGAACCCACCUAGGUUGAAAACUGGGGGGAUGACUUGUGGGGAGGAGUAAAAGUCUAAUCAAACCUGGAGAUAGCUCGUUCUCUCCGAAAUAGCUUUAGGGCUAGCCUUGAGCCACUACGUAAUGGGGGUAGAGCACUGAUUUGGACUGGGG